rnacentral:rRNA from 1 species
CCUACGGGGAGCAGCAGUGAGGAAUAUUGGUCAAUGGACGAGAGUCUGAACCAGCCAAGUAGCGUGAAGGAUGACUGCCCUAUGGGUUGUAAACUUCUUUUAUAAAGGAAUAAAACGAGGCACGUGUGCCUUUUUGCAUGUACUUUAUGAAUAAGGAUCGGCUAACUCCGUGCCAGCCGCCGCGGUAAUACGGAGGAUCCGAGCGUUAUCCGGAUUUAUUGGGUUUAAAGGGAGCGUAGAUGGGUUGUUAAGUCAGUUGUGAAAGUUUGCGGCUCAACCGUAAAAUUGCAAUUGAUACUGGCAGUCUUGAGUACAGUUGAGGUAAGCGGAAUUCGUGGUGUAGCGGUGAAAUGCUUAGAUAUCACGAAGAACCCCGAUUGCGAAGGCAGCUUACUAAACUGUGACUGACAUUGAUGCUCGAAAGUGUGGGUAUCAAACAGGAUUAGAUACCCGGGUAGUC